rnacentral:tRNA from 1 species
GCGAGCGUGACGGAAUGGCAGACGUAGUCGGCUCAAAAUCGACCGCCGCAAGGCAUGGGGGUUCGAGUCCCCCCGCUCGCACCA